GCCCCGUAUUUCCUAUGCCCGGUGUUUCCGUCCGGUCCGCGUCCUUUAAAAGCUCCAAACACCGACCACACGUAAAGCAAAACCGUGUUAAUGUGUUCCUUUGUUUGCCACAAAACGGG